CCUGUACCACCUAUAAUCGUUUUAAUCGAUGGGGGGACGCAGUAGGAUAGGCGAAGCGUGCGAUUGGAUUGCACGUCUAAGCAGUAAGGCUGAGUAUUAGGCAAAUCCGGUACUCGUUAAGGCUGAGCUGUGAUGGGGAGAAGACAUUGUGUCUUCGAGUCGUUGAUUUCACACUGCCGAGAAAAGCCUCUAGAUAGAAAAUAGGUGCCCGUACCGCAAACCGACACAGGUAGUCAAGAUGAGAAUUCUAAGGUGAGCGAGCGAACUCUCGUUAAGGAACUCGGCAAAAUGACCCCGUAACUUCGGGAGAAGGGGUGCUCUUUAGGGUUAACGCCCAGAAGAGCCGCAGUGAAUAGGCCCAAGCGACUGUUUAUCAAAAACACAGGUCUCUGCUAAACCGUAAGGUGAUGUAUAGGGGCUGACGCCUGCCCGGUGCUGGAAGGUUAAGAGGAGUGGUUAGCUUCUGCGAAGCUACGAAUCGAAGCCCCAGUAAACGGCGGCCGUAACUAUAACGGUCCUAAGGUAGCGAAAUUCCUUGUCGGGUAAGUUCCGACCCGCACGAAAGGCGUAACGAUUUGGGCACUGUCUCAACGAGAGACUCGGUGAAAUCAUAGUACCUGUGAAGAUGCAGGUUACCCGCGACAGGACGGAAAGACCCCGUGGAGCUUUACUGUAGCCUGAUAUUGAAAUUCGGCACAGCUUGUACAGGAUAGGUAGGAGCCUUUGAAACGUGAGCGCUAGCUUACGUGGAGGCGCUGGUGGGAUACUACCCUAGCUGUGUUGGCUUUCUAACCCGCACCACUUAUCGUGGUGGGAGACAGUGUCAGGCGGGCAGUUUGACUGGGGCGGUCGCCUCCUAAAAGG
rnacentral:rRNA from 1 species